rnacentral:lncRNA from 1 species
UUAUAUGCUAUAUGAAAUGCUUUAUUUUGUAUUAUCUGUUAUUUUCUAAAUAUUGCAUUAUCAUGAAAAACUUAUGCUUGAUCCGAUAAGGAAGUGCAAGUUCUACUUACUGGGCUAGUGUAGCUCAUAUUCUUUUUGUUUUCUUUUUGUUUGAACAGAGAAAUAAGGUUAGGAUCGGAAAAAAGAAUCCAAGUUUGAAGAUCGGCAUUGCAAGCUGAAAAAUUUGACAACAGAAGUUUAAUUUAUUUUAUAAUCAUGAAUUUGUAGUUAUU